GAAUCUUCCACAAUGGACGAAAGUCUGAUGGAGCAAUGCCGCGUGAGCGAAGAAGGUUUUCGGAUCGUCAAGCUCUGUUGUAAGGGAAGAACAGGUACGGGAGUACCUGACCGGUGCACGACGGUAGCUGCUUAGAAAGCUACUGCUGACUACGUGCAGGCAGGCGCGGUAAUACGUAGGUUGCAAGCGUUGUCCGGAACUAUUGUGCGUAAAGCGCGCGCAGGCUGUUCUUUGAGUCUGAUGUGAAAGCCCACGGCUCAACCUUGGAGGGUCAGUGGAAACUGGAGAACUUGAGUACAGAAGAGGAAAGCGGAAUUCCACGUGUAGCGGUGAAAUGCGUAGAGAUGUGGAGGAACACCAGUGGCGAAGGCGGCUUUCUGGUCUGUAACUGACGCUGAGGCGCGAAAGCGUGGGGAGCAAAC
rnacentral:rRNA from 1 species